GACGAACGCUGGCGGCGUGCUUAACACAUGCAAGUCGAACGGAAAGACCCUGCUUUUGUGGGGUGCUCGAGUGGCGAACGGGUGAGUAACACGUGAGUAACCUGCCCUUGACUUUGGGAUAACUUCAGGAAACUGGGGCUAAUACCGGAUAGGAGCUCCUGCUGCAUGGUGGGGGUUGGAAAGUUUCGGCGGUUGGGGAUGGACUCGCGGCUUAUCAGCUUGUUGGUGGGGUAGUGGCUUACCAAGGCUUUGACGGGUAGCCGGCCUGAGAGGGUGACCGGCCACAUUGGGACUGAGAUACGGCCCAGACUCCUACGGGAGGCAGCAGUGGGGAAUAUUGCACAAUGGGCGGAAGCCUGAUGCAGCAACGCCGCGUGCGGGAUGACGGCCUUCGGGUUGUAAACCGCUUUCGCCUGUGACGAAGCGUGAGUGACGGUAAUGGGUAAAGAAGCGCCGGCUAACUACGU
rnacentral:rRNA from 1 species